UUAAGUGAAUAAGGGCGCACGGUGGAUGCCUUGGCACUAGGAGCCGAUGAAGGACGGGACUAACACCGAUAUGCUUUGGGGAGCUGUACGUAAGCUAUGAUCCAGAGAUUUCCGAAUGGGGGAACCCAACAUCUUUAAUAGGAUGUUACGAUUGUGUGAAUACAUAGCACAUUCGAGGUAGACGCAGAGAACUGAAACAUCUAAGUACCUGCAGGAAGAGAAAGAAAAUUCGAUUCCCUGAGUAGCGGCGAGCGAAACGGGAAAAGCCCAAACCAGCAAGCUUGCUUGUUGGGGUUGUAGGACUCCAAUAUGGUAGUUCUUUCAGAUAGUCGAAUGACUUGGAAAAGUCAGUCAAAGAGGGUAAAAACCCCGUAGACGAAAUGUGGAAGACACCUAGGAGGAUCCUGAGUACGGCGGAACACGAGAAAUUCCGUCGGAAUCCGGGAGGACCAUCUCCCAAGGCUAAAUACUCCCUAGUGACCGAUAGUGAACCAGUACCGUGAGGGAAAGGUGAAAAGCACCCCGGAAGGGGAGUGAAAUAGAACCUGAAACCGUGUGCCUACAACAAGUCAAAGCCCGUUAAUGGGUGAUGGCGUGCCUUUUGUAGAAUGAACCGGCGAGUUACGAUUGCAUGCGAGGUUAAGUUGAAGAGACGGAGCCGCAGCGAAAGCGAGUCUGAAUAGGGCGUUUGAGUAUGUAGUCGUAGACCCGAAACCAUGUGAUCUACCCAUGUCCAGGUUGAAGGUGCGGUAAAACGCACUGGAGGACCGAACCCACGUACGUUGAAAAGUGCGGGGAUGAGGUGUGGGUAGCGGAGAAAUUCCAAACGAACUUGGAGAUAGCUGGUUCUCUCCGAAAUAGCUUUAGGGCUAGCCUCGGAAUUGAGAAUGAUGGAGGUAGAGCACUGUUUGGACUAGGGGCCCAUCUCGGGUUACCGAAUUCAGAUAAACUCCGAAUGCCAUUCAUUCAUAUCCGGGAGUCAGACUGUGAGUGAUAAGAUCCAUAGUCGAAAGGGAAACAGCCCAGACCACCAGCUAAGGUCCCAAAAUAUAUGUUAAGUGGAAAAGGAUGUGGGGUUGCACAGACAACUAGGAUGUUGGCUUAGAAGCAGCCAUCAUUUAAAGAGUGCGUAAUAGCUCACUAGUCGAGUGACCCUGCGCCGAAAAUGUACCGGGGCUAAACAUAUUACCGAAGCUGUGGAGUACACCUUUAGGUGUAUUGGUAGGAGAGCGUUCUAAGGGCGUUGAAGGCAGAUCGUGAGGACUGCUGGAGCGCUUAGAAGUGAGAAUGCCGGUAUGAGUAGCGAAAGACAGGUGAGAAUCCUGUCCACCGAAUGACUAAGGUUUCCUGGGGAAGGCUCGUCCGCCCAGGGUUAGUCGGGACCUAAGCCGAGGCCGACAGGCGUAGGCGAUGGAUAACAGGUUGAUAUUCCUGUACCCGUUGUUUUUGUUUGAGCAAUGGAGGGACGCAGGAGGCUAAGGAAUGCAGACGAUCGGAAAUGUCUGUCCAAGCAGUAAGUCUGAAGAGGAGUCAAAUGCUUCUUUUCUUAAGGACAAGCUGUGAUGGGGAGGGAAAUAAUAGUACCGAAGUUCCUGAUGUCACACUGCCGAGAAAAGCUUCUAGUGAGAAAACAGCGGCCCGUACCGCAAACCGACACAGGUAGUCGAGGAGAGAAUCCUAAGGUGAGCGAGAGAACUCUCGUUAAGGAACUCGGCAAAAUGACCCCGUAACUUCGGGAGAAGGGGUGCUGAUCAUACGAUCAGCCGCAGUGAAUAGGCCCAAGCGACUGUUUAUCAAAAACACAGGUCUCUGCAAAAUCGUAAGAUGAAGUAUAGGGGCUGACGCCUGCCCGGUGCUGGAAGGUUAAGAGGAGUGCUUAGCGCAAGCGAAGGUACGAAUUGAAGCCCCAGUAAACGGCGGCCGUAACUAUAACGGUCCUAAGGUAGCGAAAUUCCUUGUCGGGUAAGUUCCGACCCGCACGAAAGGCGUAACGAUUUGGGCACUGUCUCAACGAGAGACUCGGUGAAAUUUUAGUACCUGUGAAGAUGCAGGUUACCCGCGACAGGACGGAAAGACCCCAUGGAGCUUUACUGUAGUUUGAUAUUGAGUGUCUGUACCGCAUGUACAGGAUAGGUAGGAGCCGUAGAAAUCGGAACGCUAGUUUCGAUGGAGGCGCUGGUGGGAUACUACCCCUGCGUUAUGGCCACUCUAACCCGCACCACUAAUCGUGGUGGGAGACAGUGUCAGAUGGGCAGUUUGACUGGGGCGGUCGCCUCCUAAAAGGUAACGGAGGCGCCCAAAGGUUCCCUCAGAAUGGUUGGAAAUCAUUCGAAGAGUGUAAAGGCAGAAGGGAGCUUGACUGCGAGACCAACAAGUCGAGCAGGGACGAAAGUCGGGCUUAGUGAUCCGGUGGUUCCGCAUGGAAGGGCCAUCGCUCAACGGAUAAAAGCUACCCUGGGGAUAACAGGCUUAUCUCCCCCAAGAGUCCACAUCGACGGGGAGGUUUGGCACCUCGAUGUCGGCUCGUCGCAUCCUGGGGCUGUAGUCGGUCCCAAGGGGUGGGCUGUUCGCCCAUUAAAGCGGCACGCGAGCUGGGUUCAGAACGUCGUGAGACAGUUCGGUCCCUAUCCGUCGCGGGCGUUGGAAAUUUGAGAGGAGCUGUCCUUAGUACGAGAGGACCGGGAUGGACUUACCGCUGGUGUACCAGUUGUUCUGCCAAGGGCAUUGCUGGGUAGCUAUGUAGGGAAGGGAUAAACGCUGAAAGCAUCUAAGUGUGAAGCCCACCUCAAGAUGAGAUUUCCCAUUUCUUUAAGAAAGUAAGAUCCCUGAGAGAUGAUCAGGUAGAUAGGUCAGGAGUGGAAGUACAGUGAUGUAUGAAGCGGACUGAUACUAAUCGAUCGAGGACUUAACCAA
rnacentral:rRNA from 1 species